UGAAUACGAGAUGCUACGGCGUCGAAGCAGUCUAUGUCAUACUUCCAAGAAAAGCUCGCACUGUCAUAAACAAAUAAUGCCUGUACCAUAACCGACACAGGUGGGUAGGUAGAGUAUACUAAGGGGCGCGAGAUAACUCUCUCUAAGGAACUCGGCAAAAUGACUCCGUAACUUCGGGAGAAGGAGUGCCUUAUUUAUAAGGUUGCAAUAACAAGAUCCAAGCAACUGUUUAUCAAAAACACAGGUCUCCGCUAAGUCGUAAGACGAUGUAUGGGGGCUGACGCCUGCCCAGUGCCAGAAGGUUAAAGAAGUUGGUUAGCAUUCGCGAAGCUGAUAACUGAAGCCCUGGUGAACGGCGGCCGUAACAAUAACGGUCCUAAGGUAGCGAAAUUCCUUGUCGGGUAAGUUCCGACCCGCACGAAAGGCGUAAUGAUUUGGAUACUGUCUCGGAGAGGGGCUCGGUGAAAUAGACUUGUCUGUGAAGAUGCUGACUACCUGCACCAGGACAGAAAGACCCUAUGAAGCUUUACUGUAACUUGAGAUUGAAAUUGGACUUUACUUGCGCAGUAUAGGUGGGAGGCGUUGAUAAUAUUCUUGCGGGAUUAUUUGAGCCAUCAGUGAGAUACCACUCUUGUAAUGUUAGAUUUCUAACUUUGUAUCAUUAUCUGGUCAAAGGACAGUUUCAGGCGGGCAGUUUGACUGGGGCGGUCGCCUCCUAAACGGUAACGGAGGCGCACAAAGGUUUCCUCUGAACGGGUAGAAAUCGUAUCUAGAGUGUAAAGGCAUAAGGAAGCUUGACUGUGAGACCUACAAGUCGAGCAGGGACGAAAGUCGGUCUUAGUGAUCUGACGGUGCUGAGUGGAAAGGCCGUCACUCAACGGAUAAAAGUUACUCUAAGGAUAACAGGCUGAUCUCCCCCAAGAGUUCACAUCGACGGGGAGGUUUGGCACCUCGAUGUCGGCUCAUCGCAUCCUGGGGCGGUAGUACGUCCCAAGGGUUGGGCUGUUCGCCCAUGAAAGCGGUACGCGAGCUGGGUUCAGAACGUCGUGAGACAGUUCGGUCCAUAUCCGGUGUAGGCGUUAGAAUAUUGAGAGGAGCCUUCUUUAGUACGAGAGGACCGAGAAGGACAUACCUCUGGUGUACCAGUUAUCGUGCCAACGGUAAACGCUGGGUAGCUAUGUAUGGAGUGGAUAACCGCUGAAAGCAUCUAAGUGGGAAGCCCACCUCAAGAUAAGUAUUCU
rnacentral:rRNA from 1 species